ACCUGACUGCUAUCGGAUUGAUACUAAGCCAUGCGAGUCAUUGUAGCAAUACAAGGCAUACGGCUCAGUAACGCGUAGUCAACCUAACCUAUGGACGGGAAUAACCUCGGGAAACUGAGAAUAAUGCCCGAUAGAACAUUAUGCCUGGAAUGGUUUAUGUUCCAAAUGAUUUAUCGCCAUAGGAUGGGACUGCGGCCUAUCAGUUUGUUGGUGAGGUAAUGGCCCACCAAGACUAUUACAGGUACGGGCUCUGAGAGGAGUAGCCCGGAGAUGGGUACUGAGACACGGACCCAGGCCCUAUGGGGCGCAGCAGGCGAGAAAACUUUGCAAUGUGCGAAAGCACGACAAGGUUAAUCCGAGUGAUUCCUGCUAAAGAGAUCUUUUGUUAGUCCUAGAAACACUAACGAAUAAGGGGUGGGCAAGUUCUGGUGUCAGCCGCCGCGGUAAAACCAGCACCUCAAGUGGUCAGGAUGAUUAUUGGGCCUAAAGCAUCCGUAGCCGGCUCUGUAAGUUUUCGGUUAAAUCUGUACGCUCAACGUACAGGCUGCCGGGAAUACUGCAGAACUAGGGAGUGGGAGAGGUAGACGGUACUCGGUAGGAAGUGGUAAAAUGCUUUGAUCUAUCGAUGACCACCUGUGGCGAAGGCGGUCUACCAGAACACGUCCGACGGUGAGGGAUGAAAGCUGGGGGAGCAAACCGGAUUAGAUACCCGGGUAGUCCCAGCUGUAAACUAUGCAAACUCAGUGAUGCAUUGGCUUGUGGCCAAUGCAGUGCUGCAGGGAAGCCGUUAAGUUUGCCGCCUGGGAAGUACGUACGCAAGUAUGAAACUUAAAGGAAUUGGCGGGGGAGCACCACAAGGGGUGAAGCCUGCGGUUC
rnacentral:rRNA from 1 species